GUUGAAUUAUUGCCAUAUGUGUUGAAGAAGAAGGUGUAGAAAUGUACAACUGACAGACCAAAAAGCAAGAAAGGGGAAAAACAAAAAAACAAUUAAUUGUUUGGUUUGAGACAGAGCGCUUCAGUCAAUCGGGCAAAAAUGGGCAAACACCGAAACGUUAAACAGGACAAAAUUUUUAUCAAUUUUAUGGAUAAACAUCACGAUAUUGCCAGGGGCUAUGUAAAAGGUGAUAAGGUUGUUGUUGAUUCUCUAUGGACGGAAUUGACAGCUUUGCUGAAUAGUUCAGGUCCACCAAGUAAAACCUGUAAAGAAUGGAAGAAAGUUUGGUCAGAUUGGAAAGGAAAUGUUAAGGCGAAGAUGUGUCAUAAUAAAAAGGACUUGCGAGGAACUGGUGGUGGUGAUAUCAAUCAAUAUGUUUCAGUGAACACGAGAACAGUUUAAUCAGAAUUUGAAAUGCACCAGUAGCCAAAAACCUAAGCGUUGUUGCAAGCUGGAUAAUAGCCGGUAUAUUGGAACGUUUGAGGUGGGGAGAAAUUUUUUCCAAAACUAAAACAAAAGCUUCUUUAUUUAGCCGAUAAUAUGUUAUAAAUCUGUAGAAAUAAAUUAUUAUUAAAAUAAAUUUGAAAAUAACUCAUUGCUGGUGGAUCCUUACUCUGCAUUUGAGUGAGAUAAAGGA